GGUCUCUCUCCCUUUCUCCUCCUAUCAUUAUAGAUAACUGUGAUGAUCCACUAGCAUCCCUGCUCUCUCCAAUGGCUUUUUCCAGUUCCUCAGAUCUCACUGGCACUCACAGCCCAGCUCAACUCAACUGGAGAGUUGGAACUGGCGGUUGGUCCCCAGCAGAUUCCAAUGCUCAACAGUGGCUCCAGAUGGACCUGGGAAACAGAGUAGAGAUUACAGCAGUGGCCACGCAGGGAAGAUACGGAAGCUCUGACUGGGUGACGAGUUACAGCCUGAUGUUCAGUGACACAGGGCGCAAUUGGAAACAGUACAAACAAGAAGACAGCAUCUGGGUAGGACAUCUUUUUCCUUCCAAUGAAUAAAACUGAGAU
ensembl:lincRNA